GCUGGGCGUGGUGGCUCACGCCUGUAAUCCAAGCAGUUUGGAGGCCAAGGCAGGCGGAUCACCUGAGGUUGGGAGUUCAAGACCAGCCUGACCAACAUGGUGAAACCCUGUCUUUA
ensembl:misc_RNA Metazoa_SRP Metazoan signal recognition particle RNA